AAAUUGAAGAGUUUGAUCAUGGCUCAGAUUGAACGCUGGCGGCAGGCCUAACACAUGCAAGUCGAACGGUAACAGGGAUCAGCUUGCUGAUUCGCUGACGAGUGGCGGACGGGUGAGUAAUGUCUGGGAAACUGCCUGAUGGAGGGGGAUAACUACUGGAAACGGUAGCUAAUACCGCAUAACG
rnacentral:rRNA from 1 species